GAAAAUGAACGAAAAAUGCUGAAUCCGGAGACUGGAUGUUAUGCUGAGUCUGUUCGCGCGUGGGAUUGGACGGCCACGAGCAGCGCGCGCGUCCCGGAGUCCUGGCCGACGUGAACGCUAAGCCUGUAAGCUUCGCCCUGGCCUUUUCGCGCAUCAUGGUACCAUUACCCGGAGGAGGCUUGGAGGCCACCGCCAAGACGGUAUUCCUCGAUACCACCGUCGCCGUGAAGACUUCGGAACGCAUAAACUAGAUUGUAGCAAAAGUAGCACUGUAUUCCUCCGAUGAACCCCCCGUCAUAAUGUAAAUAAAAGCGUACAUCCCUCUCACCCUUCACCCCCACAUCUAUGGUAAUCUUGGAAUAUCGCCCAGCCUCCCAAAUACUGCCACACCACAUGAUAAGUAACAAAAUCAUCAGUUAUUAAUAGCACAUGUUAUAUAUAGUAUACAUAUAUAUAUCAUAAAUAAAAUAACUUUAGGUAUAUCAGUAGGAAGAGAAUAAUGAAUAUACAUAUUGGUGAAUAUCGAAAGUGCACAAAUUAUCGUUGAUCAAAUCAAAUAUUAUUCAUAUAAUAGCAUUCAUAUUGUAUACAUAUUGUACAUUUCAAUUACCCUCGACGAACCUUCUUCAAGUUCAACUUCGUGGCAUAAAAAAAAAAACAAACAAAAAAGAUAUCGACAAGCACGAACAAGUUAUAUUCCCAAAGUACCUAAUUUGUAUAUACUUAUAUAAUACAUAUUAAUGAUUAUCUAUACAUUAGAUAUAAACACAUAAACACAUAAUAGUUGCAAAUAAUUCUUGAAAGAUUAUCAUUUUGAUUUUGAUAAACAUUAC